rnacentral:misc_RNA from 1 species
GAUGAAGAACGUAGCGAAAUGCGAUAAGUAGUGUGAAUUGCAGAAUUCAGUGAAUCAUCGAAUCUUUGAACGCACAUUGCGCCCCUUGGUAUUCCAUGGGGCAUGCCUGUUCGAGCGUCAUUUGUACCUUCAAGCUCUGCUUGGUGUUGGGUGUUUGUCUCGCCUCUGCGUGUAGACUCGCCUUAAAACAAUUGGCAGCCGGCGUAUUGAUUUCGGAGCGCAGUACAUCUCGCGCUUUGCACUCAUAACGACGACGUCCAAAAGUACAUUUUUACACUCUUGACCUCGGAUCAGGUAGGGAUACCCGCUGAACUUAAGCAUAUCAAUAAGCGGAUGA